rnacentral:rRNA from 1 species
UUCAACGGCCGCGGUACUCCUAACCGUGCAAAGGUAGCAUAAUCACUUGUCCUCUAAAUAGGGACUUGAAUGAACGGCCAAAUGAGGGCCUAACUGUCUCUUAGGGCCAAUCAGUGAAUCUGCUCUUUCAGUACAAAAGCUGAAAUAAGACCAUAAGACGAAAAGACCCUGUGGAACUUUAAAUACGGGCCAUAACUAAAUGACCUUAAUUUUAAGUUGGGGCGACUGCGGAAUAAAACACAACUUCCAUGCCAAGGACCACCUGCCCCACAAAGACCUACACAUCAAUGUGACAAAAUAUUUGAUCCAGUAACAACUGAUUAACGAACCAAGCUACCCCAGGGAUAACAGCGCCAUCCUCUUCAAGAGCCCAUAUCGCCAAGAGGGUUUACGACCUCGAUGUUGGAUCAGGACCCCCAAGUGGUGCAGCCGCUACUAACGGUUCGUUUGUUCAACGAUUAAUGUCCU